rnacentral:rRNA from 1 species
AUUGAACGCUGGCGGCAGGCCUAACACAUGCAAGUCGAACGAGUGGCGGACGGGUGAGUAAUGUCUGGGAAACUGCCCGAUGGCGGGGGAUAACUACGGGAAACGGUAGCUAAUACCGCAUACCAUCGGAUCUGCCCAGAUGGGAUUAGCUAGUAGGUGGGGUAACGGAUCACCUAGGCGACGAUCCCUAGCUGGUCUGAGAGGAUGACCAGCCACACUGGAACUGAGACACGGUCCAGACUCCUACGGGAGGCAGCAGUGGGGAAUAUUGCACAAUGGGCGCAAGCCUGAUGCAGCCAUGCCGCGUGUAUGAAGAAGGCCUUCGGGUUGUAAAGUACUUUCAGUCGGGAGGCGUUAACUACAGAAGAAGCACCGGCUAACUCCGUGCCAGCAGCCGCGGUAAUUC